GGCACGGGUGAGAUGCGGUGGUUGUAGUGGCAGCGUGACUCUGAAGCAAUUAAUUUCGCUCCACCGAACCGUAGCCUGCUUCGUUUACGGACACUCUAGCACGCAUUUCAAUUGUGCGCACAAACUAAUUGACGCAUCAUGUGAUCGUGAGUACUGUUCCAUUAGUAAGUAUACUCUUGGUUUACCCCCGGCAUUGAUUAUUCGCUUAGUUAAUGUUUUUGCCGACCUUGCGUCGAUCAUUAGACUGUAACCUGAUGCUGAAUACUGAUCCGUGAGUUAGGAGAAUUGUGUUGAGGUGCGUGUUGAUCGGUUUUAUUUUAUGAGUACAGAGCUCGUGUUUUUCUUGAUUCUUGGCCAUGGCUUGCUGCAGUUUGUGGACAUCACUUGCACAUGUUUUCUUCCUUUUCUUUUCGUCUACGUUUUAUUAUUUAAUUUUUAAAUAUUCUAUAUAUUUUUUUGUAUUUAUACACACAUCAGUUUCCUUUUUCACGUGAUACAAAAGGUAUGAUCAUAAAAGUGAACAAUGGUGGCUGAAGGAAGUGCGGUCGAUGACAAAAUGGCUGAAUGGAGGACUUUUCGAUGACAUUGUUACCAGCGAUCGAGAUUACAAGCAUUUCAUGAGUUACGCGUGGAAAUAGUCCCGAUCCGAAAAUUACGCUGACGCAGAUAGUCCAUUUGAACAUUUGCAGUGGACAAAGUUUUGCUGUAGAGAAGGUGGGCUGCGUGGUGAAGUUGCAAUCGAUCUGGUGAAGGAAGUCGACAAUUUGGGCAACAUGACAGUUUGCUUUCCGAAUGCCGAAUCGUAGUACCACGUCAGUCAUCAGUGAAGCAGCGACAUAAGGCUAAACUCCAUCAGGCUGAAACAAUUCUGGUAUUCGAAGCAAUUCAAGCAGGCUUGGUGAACAAUUUUCCAAUUACAAGAAUCGUCAAUUUUACGAAUGUCGAUCGUUUGCGAUCCUAGAAAUUAGAGGAGGAGAAGUAGAUCUGUUGUAGCAGCUCCAAAUUUGAAUUUGUAACCAAAUAUAUGAGAAUCAGUUGGGAGGAUUCUCCCUGGCCUGUCAUUCCCGUUUCUGCGGAUCAAGUCUCCAAAGGGAAGACAUCAAUGAUUGCAAUCCUACUAAAUCCCGUCUCCAGGUAUCCAUCAUUUCGAAAGUUUAGUGAAAAGCCAAGGGCACAACUCAACUUUGCUACGUUCACGAGUUUGUUGUAUCUUCUGAUCCUGGUUGAGACACUCAACCUGAAUAUCACUAACUUUAUCGGCAGGGUUGCAUUCUUAACCAUCAUGCAGAUCGAUUGCAAUGAACUUCGGAACCAUGGAUAUUAACGUAAUACUAGCAUGAGGACCUCGUGAUUCUUCUUUC